rnacentral:rRNA from 1 species
GAAACGACUGCUAAGACUGGGUAGGAAAAGUAAGGGCAUCUUUACUUUUUUAAAAGACCUUCUUUGAAGGUAUGCUUAAGGAGGGGCUUGCGAACACACCWUAGUWAGUUGUSCAGGGUWAAGGCCUACCAAGACUAUSAUGUGUAGCUGGACUGAGAGGUUGAACAGSCACAUUGGRACUGAGACACGGCCCAAACUCCUACGGGAGGCAGGCAGUAGGGAAUUUUCGGCAAUGGAGGAAACUCUGACCGAGCAACGCCGCGUGAACGAUGAAGUACCUCGGUAUGUAAAGUUCUUUUAUUAAGGAAGAAAAAAAGAGUGGAAAAACUCCCUUGACGGUACUUAAUGAAUAAGCCCCGGCUAAUUAUGUGCCAGCAGCCGCGGUAAUACAUAAGGGGCGAGCGUUAUCCGGAAUUAUUGGGCGUAAAGGGUGCGUAGGCGGUUUAAUAAGUCUAUAGUUUAAUUUCAGCGCUUAACGCUGUUGUGCUAUAGAAACUGUUUUACUAGAGUGAGUUAGAGGCAAGCGGAAUUCCAUGUGUAGCGGUAAAAUGCGUAAAUAUAUGGAGGAACACCAGAGGCGUAGGCGGCUUGCUGGGACUUUACUGAUGCUGAGGCACGAAAGCGUGGGGAGCAAACAGGAUUAGAUACCCUGGUAGUCCACGCCGUAAACGAUGAGUACUAAGUGUCGGGUAAAACCGGUACUGAAGUUAACACAUUAAGUACUCCGCCUGAGUAGUACGUACGCAAGUAUGAAACUUAAAGGAAUUGACGGGACUCCGCACAAGCGGUGGAUCAUGUUGUUUAAUUCGAAGAUACACGAAAAACCUUACCAGGUCUUGACAUUUUCUUGCGAAGUUAUAGAAAUAUAAUGGAGGUUAUCAGGAAAACAGGUGGUGCAUGGUUGUCGUCAGCUCGUGUCGUGAGAUGUUAGGUUAAGUUCUAAAACGAGCGCAACCCUUGUCGUUAAUUGCCAGCAUGUAAUGAUGGGGGACCUUUAACGAGACUGCCAAUGAAAAAUUGGAGGAAGGUGGGGAUUACGUCAAAUCAUCAUGCCCCUUAUGAUCUGGGCUACAAACCGUGAAUACAAUUGGUUGAUACMAAGAGAUASCUGAAMCGCGAGUUCCUWAGCMWMUCUCCACAAAAAUUCAAUCCUCCAGKUCGGAUUGAAGUCUGCAACUCGACUUCAUGAAGUUGGAAUCGCUAGUAAUCGCGAAUCAGCAUGUCGCGGUGAAUACGUUCACGGGGUUUGCACACCGCCCGUCA